CCUACGUGAGGCAGCAGUGAGGAAUAUUGGUCAAUGGCCGGGAGCCUGAACCAGCCAAGUCGCGUGAGGGAUGACGGCCCUAUGGGUUGUAAACCUCUUUUGUCGGGUAGCAAAGUGACGCACGUGUGCGGUUUGGAGAGUACCUGGAGAAAAAGCAUCGGCUAACUCCGUGCCAGCAGCCGCGGUAAUACGGAGGAUGCGAGCGUUAUCCGGAUUUAUUGGGUUUACAGGGUGCGUAGGCGGACGCUUAAGUCAGCGGUAAAAUUGCGGAGCUCAACCUCGUCCAGCCGUUGAACCUGAGUACCUGGAGUGGGCGAGAAGUACGCGGAAUGCGUGGUGUAGCGGUGAAAUGCAUAGAUAUCACGCAGAACUCCGAUUGCGAAGGCAGCGUACCGGCGCCCAACUGACGCUGAAGCACGAAGGCGUGGGUAUCGAACAGGAUUAGAUACCCGUGUAGUC
rnacentral:rRNA from 1 species